rnacentral:rRNA from 1 species
AAGUUCUAUUCUAUUACAAUCUUUUAGAGUUGUAGUAGCCGGAGAUUCAUUUUCAAGUUUGAACCCUAUCCUAUUAUUUAUGUUUGAGCAUGUUCUUCUUGUUUCUGUACGAGCACCUCUAAUUUAACUCUCUAAAAGCUCCCAAGCAAAAGAAGGCUUGCUGCGUCCUAAUAAAGAUUCUCCUUGUUUGCUUAUGCUUGUGUUGCUUCCUGCCUACUGCUUUGGGACAGAUAUAUGCAUGUUAGUUUGUCUCUGAUGUGUUGUAGGGCGUGCCCAGCUUUCUUAGCUUCUUACCAAUUCUUGGUUCUAGGAUCCAGUAGACUAGGUGAUCAUUUUUUAUAUAUGCCCAAACCAACGCAUGCUGCUGUAAUAUAUGUGCUUCAGAAUUGGCAGAGCACCACUUGCUGUAUACAUAUGCAAACAGUAAUUCUUGUUGCUCACCCAUAUGAGGUAUAGUUGUGGGAAUCCUGAACUGAAGUUGGGGAUUGCUGAUGUGAAAUGGCGGCGUCACGAGCCAGAUGGUCACCAUGGAGACCAUAAGCAGCCCAGCAGCAACAAUCCAACAUAUAUGCAUAAAACAAGCAUGAGCGGACACAUGCAGCAAUAAGCAUGGGAAUAGAAGUGGAUAGCCAUGGAACCUGUGGCGCGGGGAGCGCCGGUCAGCCUGGCGGACCUGUGACGUAAGCACGACGCUAGAUCAGACACACUCACGGUCAUUGGCGUGUGCGCUGGAUCGGCAGCCCUCGGCUGAUACAAGCAACUUGCAUUAUGUGGUCGCUUGGUCUAUCCAUCAACAUUAUAUCUCCUUCAUCAAUUAGUUUUCUCAUAUUUCUUAUUAUGAAGGCUAGGAACUAGGCUGAAAUACACAGAUGUUUUAGUUUUUGCUUUUCUUAAUGCAGAUGUGGAAGAUCUAAAAUCCUCUGUGAAAGAUUUUGGUUCUGCGGAAGCCAAUGAUCUGGCACUGGGACCAUAACUUCUGGAGUGAACGACUGCGGGAAUCAAAAUACAAUAUCGAUGAGGUUCUUUCUUUACAGAAAUCGCGAUUACAAUAUUAAUGAAAUUAGUUCCUGGCCAUUGCAUAUUUGCAUACUUAUUGGAAUUCGGUUUUAUCAUUAAUUGUUGAUUUAACUUUUUAGCUUUGAUGUAUGAGAAAACUAUCUGCAUUUCUUAUCUAUCAUGGAUAUGCUGAUAUAUUGCUCUACUAAAAGGAAUUGUUGGCCUAAGAUGUUAUUAUAUACGUGACAUGUUAUUGGCUAAAUAUGAUUCAUACUUUACAAACUCCUUACAGCUGGAGUAGGAUCCAAUGAACAGAUGAUGAAAAAUAAAUUAAGCACUUGCUUUGAUUUUUUCAAAUUUUUACAGAAACUGUUAGAACACACUUUUCUUUGCAAGCCGGAUACAAAGAGGAAUGUGUUAAAUAUAUGGAAGAUAAAAUUAUUUGCAAGCAAACUCUGCUUGUUUGCCAUAUUUUGCGCACCGUCUUAAAAUUAUUUGUCCAAUGGAAGGACUCUCUGCAACAUCAAUUCCAGUAUGUUGCUUUAGUUGUUCUGUGUGAUGCAAGGUAAUAUUUUUCUUGCAAUUUUUGCAUCUUUUACCUUUUCACUUCUGUUGAGAGAAACAUGUUGUUUCUUAAGAAGAUAUUGUUUAUAAGACGGAACAAUACUCACCAUAUAUGAUAUUGUUCCACCAAAUAAAUAUUUUUUGAGUGCAACUAAAAUCGUUUUCCUGCUCAUUCAUGACACUGUGGUCUGACAUAGCUGAUGGAUGUUCAGGUUUCUCUAUUAAUUGCAAUGCCUUCUAGAUGUGCUACUAUAGUGUUAUUUGUCUGUGCUUUAAUAUCCAUUCUGCAUGUGUUCUUCUGUUUAUUUUCAAGAUAUCCUGGCUCUCCGGAAUAUGCCCUGUUCAGCUGAAAGGAUGUAUUGCAAUUAUGCAGAGAGAUCGGAUUGUUCGGACUCCAGUGCCACUUUCAGUUUUCUAAUUUUUGCAGGGAUAUUGAGUGAGGGCUGGUCUAAACUUUAAGAGAAUAACUUAUUACAUUCUAGGAUCACCAACUUUUGGCGUUUGCUCGGACUAGGUAGGUAGGACCAUUAGCAAUUCUCCUGAUUUGCUUGCAAGAUUGAUUUAUGAAAAUGUCAUGGUCGUUAUAUUUCGGUUUGCUGCUAAUUUCAUUGAAUAUGUUUUGAUGGAUCCUUUUUAAGCUUUCAUCCUUUACCAUUUGUAAAAGUAACUAACACAUUCGUGAUUGAAUUUUUGAAUGGUUAAUGGGAACACUAUAGGUCUUGUUUCUCCGCUUUUUUAAUGUUCCAUAUAUUUUUCAUGUACAUACCAUAGUGUGCAUUCAACCAUCUACGAAGCUUCAUGACUGAUUAAAUGUUACAGCUGCUAAUGUUAUUGUGUUUCAUGGAUCAAGUUUUUCUUUCUAUUUCCGCAUUGACGUGUUGUUUCAAUGGUAGAGUUAGUUUUUUUUGCGGGAAUGGUAGAGUUAGUUACGACUGGUGUUUUUCUUGCGUCCCUGCCGCCCUGGCUACAGCUUGUUAUGCCAAUUGUGGCAGAGUGAAGGGAGGGAGAGACUAAAAUAAUUGUAGUUCUGAGACAUAAAUGUGUCAACAGAGCUUAUGGUUUCCACUGCGGUUUUUCUCAAAUAACCAAUAUAUGUCUGCAUUCUUAAUAUUUCUUGCUUCUAUUUGUAAUCUUAUUAUUUUCUCCAUGAUACACUUGCUUACCAAUAUGGUAUUGUGUUCAGUGUAUGUGGCCUACCGUAUCCGUGAUGUGGUGGCAGGAAGAGGCCAGUGCCACCAUUACUGUAUCCGUGUCAGGCAUGGUGGCAUGAAGAAGCAUAAAUUCAGAGUAUUGCUAUGAUGUUCUUCUCUAGCGUUGCAGGUGUAUCCGCAAAGUGUCUCAUAAUAUUUGGUUAAAGCCUGCAAUUGUUUAGGUGAUAUGAACUUCCUUUAUCUUGAAUGGAUUUGAACUCCAGCCAAAUUCAAGUGAUGAAAGGUCAGUUUUGUGCUGAUUCACAAGUUUAGAUAUCGUCCCUCCAGUGUACUUCUUGGUUGAUUAAUGAAAAAUGCUUUCUGCUCACUUCCCCUUCCUAGAUUAGUCUAUGUGUAUGAAAAGAAAAAUUCUUUUUUUGCAUAAUACUAUCGAUACCAUGGAAUAGUUUUUAUGAACGAUCCUCUUUAGCUAACAUUUAAUCAAGGUUACCUAAAGAGAAUGAUAUCACUUCAUAAAAACCAUUCAUGAAGAGAAUCAUUCAUAAAAAUAAUUCUCUUUAUGAUAGUAUUAUACAGAAAAAGCUAACAUUUGUAUAAGGAGAAUCAUUCUCUUUAGCUAACAUUUAAUCAUGGUAUUUGGUGGAACUGGCUGUGGAGUAUUAGGUAGAUUGUGAUAUGGUGAAUUAUUUGUUAGACACGACAUUACGAGCUCCUCCUUUGCAGCAGUACAUGGAUUUUUUUCUACAUAAAUCUCAUGAGUCCAUUAUGCCUUACGUAUCUGAACCUAUGAUUCUAGAGAAGAUAUAAUAUACUUCUGGAUUACACAAGGUAAAAUCCUCUUUCACUAACCCUUUCAACUUUCAAAUAUUGUCAGUUGGGGCUCACAAAACAGAUUGAGUUGAUUUUGUUGUUCUUUUGUGCUAUCUGGACAGAGCUUAUUGUUUUAUUCCAUUCUUAGUCUACUGAUGGUAAAUGAUAUAUGGAAAAUCAACAUUUCAAGGUAAAUAAAAUGCCCCCAGUAUGUUUCUGUUCACAUGAUUACUGGCUCAUGUUUCUUUUAUGUGAUGCCAGGCUACUGUUUGAUGUUCUCUUUGUUGCUCUCACUUUGGUUAUAUACUACUAAAACUUCGUAUAAUUUUCAUUUAGAUUUGGUGUUGUUAGCAUUAGACGGUGUGCAUCAAAUAUGAAAGUAGGGCCAAGCAUGAAAGGCAAGGUGAAGGAAGGUGCCUGUGUGGUUCUUCUGCAGCUCGGAGCGAGGAUUGCUGUGUCCAACCUGCAAAAGAAUGCCAAGAAGUCCUUGGAGACGUAAGCCACGGCACAUAUUUCUGCCAUGAUUUCCUUCGGCUGGAUUUAACGGAUUUAGGUGUUGAAAAAUUAUGGGUUGUGGAUGCAGGAUUAAGGACAUGUACCUGCACUGCAACGAGAGAUCUGGGCUGCUUCUUUGUGGCUUCCAAACUUGAAAUGUUUGUUUGGAAGUUAGUUUAGUUUUUUGUUGUGGAUUCACACCUUCUCACAUGUACCAUCCGCUUAGACCUUUAGAUUUCCAAAGAAAAUAAAUGAAGAUAUGGUGGUAUGGUUUCAUUUGUACAACUUAAAGCCUUUCAUGCUUUACAUUUUCUCUGAAAUUUGCUCUUGAAGAAUCAUGUAUCUAUGUUAGAUCCGGUGAGAAAAGGCAGCUUCAAAGCAGAGGAUUCGGGAGUGUUGGCC